AGCCUUAGCGAGGCCAUGGGGGAAAAAGUCUAACUGGCGGAACUCCUGGGAACUGGGGCGAUGGGCUCUUAGUAUCGGAGGAUUGGAGCCAUCUGAUUUUUACCUGAAAUUCCUUAGUCUCUCCUGUGUUGGGGAAAUGCGCUGCUGGGUUAGGGUCUCCCCGACUGAGCUGGUCUCGGCAAGUGGUGUCCAUUCGUGGGGGCUCAAAUCCAGGUCGAAGGGUCGCCAGAGCAACAGUUGGAAUGGAAAACCAGCUGGAGGACACAGGAGUACUCUUAAAGCAAUCCCCGUGAUACAGCAUUACCUGAAAAGAAGAUAACCUGGGGUAGAGGUUAUGCUUGUGUUUCUCCAGGCCAAAAUCAACAGCUGAUCUGGAUACCAUCAAUACACCUGAAACCUUAGCAUAAGCCAGAUUACAGGAGGAUCCCGAGGACCCCCCAGUUGCAGCCAUGUCAAGACUGAUGCUGAGGAGGACCCCAAUUGUCACGAGCAACACCCGUCAAACACAGCCACCCACCUGGGGACAGAUCAAGAAGCUGUCACAGAUGGCGGAAGAAAACCUGAGGAAAGCGGGACAACCAGUCACAAUGAAUAAUUUAAUGGUAGCUAUGAUAGCGGUUAUCACCACUGCCAUGAGUAUUCCUUCAACAGGGGCUGACACAGAGAACAGUUAUACUUAUUGGGCAUAUUUAUCAAUCUUGGCCGGCAAUAAUGCCUGGAUGCAAUCACUCUGACACAGUUACACAUGCUUUCUGAUCUCAGUAUUUACCAUAAUAAAUCUGCUCAUAUAAUUGAGGCAUACCAUCCUCAAAAACCUUUUUGUAAACAGGAUUGGACCCAGUUAGAAAAAGAUGAACGUACUUGUUUAGGAAGAUUGCUUUGCAGAACAGACAGAGGUGCUGCACAAUGAUUCCUAUGGAAUCAUUAUUAAUUGGUACCCUAAGGGGAUGUUUAGCUUGAAUUGCACCUCUCAGUCUGCGUGCCAUGGCCACACUAUGUUCAGAUGAUCUGAACAAAACGGUCAGAUGGUAGAAAUGAUAAGAAGUAUGGCAAAAGUUCCUAUUAUCUGGAACCGUGGCGGUAUAGUGGCACCUCAACCUCAAAUGAUAUGGCCUGCUCUAGAAGCUUAACAUAAGGAUUUGUGGAAACUAUUAGAUGUUCUUAAUAAGAUCAAAAUUUGGGAAAGAAUAAAAAGGCAUCUAGAAGGACACUCUACAAACUUGUUUUUGGAUAUGGCAAAAUUAAAAGAACAAAUAUUUAAAGCAUCCCAGGCACACCUGACCUUAAUGCCAGGAACUGGAGUCCUUAAAGGAGCUGCAGACAAAUUAGCAGCUAGUAACCCAUUAGAAUGGAUAAAAACACUUGGAAGCUCUGUAUUUCAAUGAUGAUUGUGCUUUUAAUCCAUGUUGUUUGUCUUUGUAUAGUGUGCAGAUGUGGAUCCUGACUCCUGUGAGAAGUAGCUCACUGUGACAAAGCUGCCUUUGCUUUUAUCUCUUUGCAAAUCAAAGAAGGGAGACAUGUUGGGAGCAGGCCCCCCCAAAAUCUGGCCAUAAACUGUCCCCAAAACUGGCCAUAAACAAAAUCUCUGCAGCACUGUAACAUGUUCAUAAUGGCCCUUAACACCCAAGCUGGAAGGUUGUGGGUUUAUUGGAAUGAGGGCAAGGAACACCUGGCCCGCCCAGGAUGGAAAACCACUUAAAGGCAUUCUUAAGCCACACACAAUAGCAUGAGCAAUCUGUGCCUUAGGGACAUGCUCCUGCUGCAGUUAACUAACCCAACCUAUUCCUUUAAUCCGGCCCAUCCCUUCGUUUCCCAUAAGGGAUACUUUUAGUUAAUUUAACAUCUAUAGAAACAAUGCUAAUGACUGGUUUGCUGUUAAUAAAUACGUGGGUAAAUCUCUGUUCGGGGGCUCUCAGCUCUGAAGGCUGUGAGACCCCUGAUUUCCCAC
ensembl:lncRNA MIR497HG mir-497-195 cluster host gene